CCAUAUAGCACUUCUUCCCAUCUGACAGGAUUUACAACCGAAGGCCUUCAUCAUCCACGCGGCGUCGCUGCGUCAGGGUUGCCCCCAUUGCGCAAUAUUCCUC
rnacentral:rRNA from 1 species